UUAGAAACAACGGAUAUAUGUGAGACCAUCUCCACCACCUUGCUCAAACUCUUAACUUUGAUAAAAAAAUAAUAAUAAUAAUAAAUUAUUGAGUAAAAGAUUCAUUUGAUAUGAAGCACUCCAAUGAAAAAACUCAAAUUAAGCAUACAUAUUUGGCAGAAAAAUGGUAAUUUAGAAAGCCACAAGGUAGACUUGCGAAUUUUAAGUAAAAUAAAGUCCCCUUCGAUUGGAUUAAGACUUGUUUUGAUACAAGUUUGAUCGAGGAAGAGACGCAUUUGGGAGGUUCUAAGAUUUGAGCAAGGGCUAUAGAACAAAAAAAGAACAACGGGUUAAUACAUGAAGACCCAAAUACAAAUCUCAAUUAAUCAAUAAUCAGUGGAAAUGAUAACACUUCAGAGGUCGUAACUCAUGGAAAAAAAGAGUGAACCCAUAAACUGAACAAGACAAGCUCAACAAUUAAUGCAUCAAUGAUUCAAUGCACAAAAUGUUUUUUUUUUUUUUUUUUGAUAAGCCAAUACAUAUAAUGAGACCAGAUAAUGAAGUCCACAAAAUCUUAAAAUUUCAGCCAAAAAGAAUAGUCACUCAACACAAUCAAAGAGAGACAUACAAACAUAGGAGAUUACAGGAUAUAAAGUGUGUGUUUAUGUCAAUACACCAAAUGUUUAGAUACAUAUAUGGAAUGAGACCCAAAUAAAGAAGUCCACAGUUGAUUGAUUUUAGCCAGAAAAAACAAUCAUACUACAACCGAGGUGUUAGUCACCCCUUUUCCGGCCGACGAGCAUCCAGCCAUUUUCAGAACAUUGACUAAGACAGAAUGUUUAAAUACACAUAUGGAAUGACUAAUGAGACCCAUAUAAAAGAAGUCCACAACUGACUGAUUCUAGCCCAAACAAUCAGAGUGCAAUACAACCAAAGAGACAUACAAACAUCUGUAGAGAGAGAGAGAGAGGAUACCUUAGGGGGGUCGAUUUGAACAGGGUGAGUGAGACCGAGACUGGCGCGAGCGAGAGAGUGAGCCAUGCGCUUACCUCUGCGACAACACAAGGGUGUAACUGCAAAAGAGAGACCCAGAAGGGGGGUGGAUCGCAAUUUUCUGAAAACAAGCGAAGAAGAA